GCUACUUGAAGAGAGGUUAUCCUUCGUGUGUUUGUAUGAUUGUAAUGAAUAUGCAAGGACAAGCUCUCUCCGAGGAGC
rnacentral:pre_miRNA from 12 species